GACAAAGGAAAGAACAGUUGCACUCAGUUUCCUGGUAGGGACUACAUUCAAGGGGAAUGUGAAAACACAGCAAGCAGACCACUGGAUUAUGCAGUGAACAAAGAAGAGUUGGAAUCAUCAGCAGUGUAUUUUCACCAACAAAGAUGACACUUCAGAUAAUUUGCUCUGCAAACAUUACUGUACUGACUCUGGACUGUAUUACCCAUGCUUACACAUCUACUGUAUUCUUGCUGUGGUACAGCGUUACAUAAUAUAUAAGCUCACCAUGGACUUCAUUGCAACAAGUUGUAUUACAAGC
rnacentral:lncRNA from 1 species